rnacentral:rRNA from 1 species
UGGGGAAUAUUGGACAAUGGGCGAAAGCCUGAUCCAGCCAUGCCGCGUGUGUGAAGAAGGUCUUCGGAUUGUAAAGCACUUUAAGUUGGGAGGAAGGGCAGUAACCUAAUACGUUGCUGUCUUGACGUUACCGACAGAAUAAGCACCGGCUAACUCUGUGCCAGCAGCCGCGGUAAUACAGAGGGUGCAAGCGUUAAUCGGAAUUACUGGGCGUAAAGCGCGCGUAGGUGGUUUGUUAAGUUGGAUGUGAAAGCCCCGGGCUCAACCUGGGAACUGCAUCCAAAACUGGCAAGCUAGAGUACGGUAGAGGGUGGUGGAAUUUCCUGUGCAGCGGUGAAAUGCGUAGAUAUAGGAAGGAACACCAGUGGCGAAGGCGACCACCUGGACUGAUACUGACACUGAGGUGCGAAAG